rnacentral:snRNA from 1 species
GUGCUCAACUUGGCAGCACAUAACACUAAACUAAAGCAAUAUAGAGAAGAUUAGUAUGGGCCCCAGCAUAAACAUAGCAGACAGAUUUGUGAAGUGUUCCAUGUGAACAAAAG